GAGAGAGACACGGACCACCCAACGGCUGUGGAGAAAAACAAAACUGGGUGGAGAGCAAAGUCAGCUUCGAUCACAUCGGAGGGCCUGUCAUGACUGCUCUCCAGCAGGACUCCUGUGUCUGGAUUAAUGUCCCUGGUUGACUGCUGAUCUGAAGACAGACGCUAAUUUACUGGCAACAGGAAGAAGAAAGUUGCAGGUGAAGGUUCUACUUGUUUAAAUGUUUACUGAAU